rnacentral:misc_RNA from 1 species
GAAAUGCGAAAAGUAAUGUGAAUUGCAGAAUUCAGUGAAUCAUCGAAUCUUUGAACGCACAUUGCGCCCGCCAGUAUUCUGGCGGGCAUGCCUGUUCGAGCGUCAUUACAACCCUCAGGCCCCCGGGCCUGGCGUUGGGGAUCGGCGGAAGCCCCCUGCGGGCACAACGCCGUCCCCCAAAUACAGUGGCGGUCCCGCCGCAGCUUCCAUUGCGUAGUAGCUAACACCUCGCAACUGGAGAGCGGCGCGGCCACGCCGUAAAACACCCAACUUCUGAAUGUUGACCUCGAAUCAGGUAGGAAUACCCGCUGAACUUAAGC